UUUUCAGUCUAGUUUUUCUUUCCUUAUUACUUGUUUCAUCAUUUUUCUUCUCCUUUGUGUUCCCAGUACACAGCACUGCAGGAAUACCUAUUGUGACCCUGGUGACCAUCUACUUUCAAAAUAUGAGCUGGCUGUGAAUAAAAAUAUUCCCAUCUCUUAUUAUCUCUAGUUAUAUAUAUAUAGAAGCUUAUAUAGAA
rnacentral:ribozyme from 14 species